UUGUGUUGGUCAUUUUAACAAGUAAAACUUUAUUGUACUGAUACUCAAGUUGCAAAAUAUGACACUUUGUGUUUUAUUGUUUUUCUUUUCAUGUGGUGGUAUUAGACAGGGUCUUUAAACACCUCCCUUUGGAGUGCUGAGGAUCCUAUAGGGCUGCUGCAGCCCCCAACUUUCCCCAAAUUAUCACUUUUCCCAGAAAUCCUGGUGGAAGGAGUCCCGGAGUUCCUGCUUAUUCCCCUCAUAUUCCCAGGAAUCUUCCAGCCAGGAUUUGUGUAAAACCAGGGAAUUAAGAAUUGUGUGAUCCCAGUCAUAUGGUUUAAAAAGACUACAGGCCUUAUGUAUUUUCCUAGAAAGUGCAACAGUAUGUAUAUAGUACAUAUAUAUACACCAGCAUUGUGCCUGUCCACGGCUGAGAGGAGGAUGGCCUAGAAAUACAUUGAGGAGACUGUGAAGGAGGGGAUAAACAGCGGUCCACGGGUUGCGUCCCAAAUGGAACACUGUGCCCUACUUUGUGCACUACUCUUGGCCAGAGAGCUCUAUAGGCCUGGGUCAAAAGUAGUGCACUAAGUAGGGAAUAUGGUGCCAUUUGGGACAUGCCCUAUGAUAUUAGGCGACGGAACACGACAUUAAAGAGUAGAAGAGAAUAUGGAAUUGUAUUCAAAGGAGAAGAGUGUUAAGACAAUGUAAUUAUAAUAAUAAUAGUAAUAAUGACAAUAUAAUGUUAUUUUCAAACCUGGACAACGGAGUCAGAGCAUGUAAUGACACCUUUCUAAUAGAAGAUGUUAAAUGAGUUGUGAUGUGUUUAACGUGAGAAUGAGUAAACUACGAGGCUGGAUUUGACAGAAGGAAUGCAGGUCAUUAAGAAGACAGAACAUGAACUGGUUCCACGACGCUCAGUUGAUAAGAGCAUCACGACACGAGAGGUUCCCGCUGGGCACACCCAGACAACAGAACCCCUGACCGUCGCGUUGGAAAGAAGUAUCUGCUAUGUGCCUUAUUAUUAUUAUUAUUAUUCAUCUGAAUGGAACUAGUGUCAAGACAGAAGUGUACAGUUGAGUGUAUGUAUUAACACAAGGACAGGAAGAACACACCACACUGGAAACAAUAAGAUCAAGACCUUCUGUAGCUUCCUCGAGCUUGGUCCACCGGGGGGGAUGACGACACACGCCAAGGGGGUAGGAGAGGGGGAGGGUGGGGAGGUGAGUGCAGAGUGUUGUGCGUUUGUCCCAAAUGGCACCCUAUUCCCUUUAGAGUGCACUACUUUUGACCAGAGCCCAUAGGGUUCUGGUCGAAAGUAGUGCACUAUUUAGGGAACAGGGGUCCAUUCAGAACAAAUACCAGUAUGUGUGGAGCAAUAUGCUAGCCUAGUACAUAGGAGACAGUUGUUACAGAGACAGGCGCCUGUCCCAAUAUGGUAGUUAGGAGACAGUUGUUACAGAGACAGGCGCCUGUCCCAAUAUGGUAGUUAGGAGACAGUUGUUACAGAUAAUGGCCCUGUCCCAAUAUGGUAGUUAGGAGACAGUUGUUACAGAGACAGGUGCCUGUCCCAAUAUGGUAGUUAGGAGACAGUUGUUACAGAGACAGAUGCCUGUCCCAAUAUGGUAGUUAGGAGACAGUUGUUACAGAGAAUUGCCCUGUCCCAAUAUGGUAGUUAGGGGACAGUUGUAAAGGGGAUGUCCCUGUCCCAAUAUGGUAGUUAGGAGACAGUUGUUUCGGAGACAGGUGCCUGUCCGAAUAUGGUAGCUAGGAGACAGUUGUUACAGAGAAUUGCCCUGUCCCAAUAUGGUAGUUAGGGGACAGUUGUAAAAGAGAAUGUCCCUGUCCCAAUAUGGUAGUUAGGAGACAGUUGUUACAGAGACAGGUGCCUGUCCCAAUAUGGUAGUUAGGAGACAGUUGUUACAGAGAAUGGCCCUGUCCCAAUAUGGUAGUUAGGAGACAGUUGUUACAGAGAAAGGCCCUGUCCCAAUAUGGUAGUUAGGGGACAUUUGUUACAGAGAAUGGCCCUGUCCCAAUAUGGUAGUUAGGAGGCAG
ensembl:lncRNA